rnacentral:lncRNA from 1 species
UUUGUUGUUGUGACACUGGUAUGCUCCAAGGAGACGUCAAAAGCUCACCUGCUCCUUCACACUGUCUCCAGUGUACAUGUAUUUAAUGUGAUACAGGAAAUCGCAGAUCGGGUCCAUGUAGCUGAGAUGCUGACAGUGUUUGUCAACUGCCUGCAGCAUCUCAUAGAAGGCAACACCAAUCUGAAACAGCAACACAGAACAAAAUGUACAAAAAUCCACCAGGAGAAAGACAAAACUAAAUUAUAUCUUUGAUGUAAGAUAAAGAGAACAUCCGAAGUGUACCUCCAACAUGCAACGCGUCCUCUCUUGCUGGAAGCGCUGAAGGAACGGCCCCACCAGGUGAUACACGUACAGGAGCUGGAACUCUGUCUUGACGAUGGGCUUCAGAGUCUCUGACAAGAAUCUACGCACAGAUGCAUAAAGACAUGAGAGCAAAAAGAAACAGUCUUACAGGAUAAAAACAAGGAGAGCGCCUCACUUGGGGAUCAGAGAUAGCUGUCCGAUGGAUGAGUGAUGCCACACGGCGUGUGCUAAUGCGAGCACGUAGCUGCAGUUCAUUUCACUGUAGCUCUGGUGGCAGGCAGUGAAGUCCAGCAAGGCAAAGGGAUAGCCUGUCCACUCCGUCUCCGAUGUCAGUGCCGGAGAGCUGAUCACAGAAACGAUGCGGUCAUGGAGAACAAUCCAGUAUGGUUCCUGAAGAGGAGAUCAAAGGUGGUCACAGCGGAAAAAUCUAAACAUCAAUUUAUCGUGAAAGCUGAAAGUCUGAGAGUAUUUUUCUUACUGGAAGUGCAGUGAUCACAAGUCCAAUGGCAUUCAUCCAGGCAGUGAUGUUCUCUCUGGGGACCAGAGGUUGACUAAAAGGUGAAAGGAGAAGAUGAUAGGUAAUUUUAGGGAUCAUUAAAAUAUUCUGCAUACACUAGAGAACACUAUUAAUUCCAAAAGGAUGGCAUUUAAGCUUAAUGAGACCCAUAAACUUUACAAUGAUUGCACAUGGCUUGCUUACUGCACCUUUUCAACACAACAUUAAGCAAAGCGUUUCCCACAUCUUUUCCUGGCACGGCCAAAGCCAUCAGCUCCACACAGGUGACGUGCAAGGCGUGGGCCGCGGGGUUGGGGAACUCGUUGAACCUCCAGUCACAGUUGGGAAAAGGACCCGGUGACUUUCCCGCCAUGGUGUCCACCAGGCGUCCAAUCAGCUUGCAGUAGUAGGUGUCAUCAGGGAUCCACACGUUUUCUUCACGGGCGUUCAUGCCAAACCUCAGAUAGGUUUCACUAAGACACCAGCCUGGAGUACGGUUGUCCUGUAAAAUAAAACGUUACACUGAUAUCAAUAAUUGCGCAUUAGCUAUUCAGAUAUAUGAAUUACUGCAUGAGUCUUCUCUGUUUACCUUCAGUGAAGACAUGAUGGCAUGAACCAGUUUUCUCUUGAGGUUGGUUCUGUCUCUCAGGUGUCUCUCAUAGUAGUGAAGGGUGUUGUACAGGUAGGUCACAGGGCGAUCUGAAAAAACGCAGCGGUAAAUACAAAUCCCCAAAUAAUGGCAAAGUU